AACGAACGCUGGCGGCAGGCCUAAUACAUGCAAGUCGAACGCACCGCAAGGUGAGUGGCAGACGGGUGAGUAACGCGUGGGAAUCUUCCUUGCAGUACGGAAUAACUCCGGGAAACCGGUGCUAAUACCGUAUACGCCCUUUGGGGGAAAGAUUUAUCGCUGCAAGAUGAGCCCGCGUCGGAUUAGCUAGUUGGUGGGGUAAUGGCCUACCAAGGCGACGAUCCGUAGCUGGUCUGAGAGGAUGAUCAGCCACACUGGGACUGAGACACGGCCCAGACUCCUACGGGAGGCAGCAGUAGGGAAUAUUGGACAAUGGGCGAAAGCCUGAUCCAGCCAUGCCGCUUGAGUGAAGAAGGCCUUAGGGUUGUAAAGCGCUUUUGGCGGGGACGAUAAUGACGGUACCCGCAGAAUAAGCUCCGGCUAACUUCGUGCCAGCCGCCGCUGUAAUAC
rnacentral:rRNA from 1 species